UACGUAGGGUCCGAGCGUUGUCCGGAAUUAUUGGGCGUAAAGGGCUCGUAGGCGGUUCGUCACGUCGGGAGUGAAAACUCGGAGCUUAACUCCGAGCCUGCUUCCGAUACGGGCAGACUAGAGGUAGGCAGGGGAGAGCGGAACUCCUGGUGUAGCGGUGGAAUGCGCAGAUAUCAGGAGGAACACCAAUGGCGAAGGCAGCUCGCUGGAACGGAACUGACGCUGAGGCGCGAAAGCGUGGGGAGCGAACAGG
rnacentral:rRNA from 1 species